rnacentral:tRNA from 1 species
UAGCUGAGUUGGUAAAGUGCUUGCCUCACAUGCACAAGGCCCUGGGUUCAAUCCCCAG